rnacentral:misc_RNA from 1 species
AAAAAAAAGAAAAAAACAAAAAGAAGUCGUAAGAUCAAAUCUUCCAAUGACAAGACCAUUGUUUAGGCCUAAUUUCAUUGAAGUGACUGAUAGUUAUGGCUUGGGCGAACUGUAUUCUCCUUGUUCUGGCUAUGCUCUAAAACAAAGAAUCAGUUUAACUUGCUUUUAGUAGAUUUGUACAAAUUAGGAUCAGUCUGAUAGUAGACAACCUCUCCAACGUCACUCACAUAGUGAUCUUCUCUCAAGCUUUUUA